rnacentral:rRNA from 1 species
AGAGUUUGAUCCUGGCUCAGGACGAACGCUGGCGGCGUGCCUAAAACAUGCAAGUCGGACGGUCUUCUCCGCAAGGGGGGACAGUGGCGAACGGCUGAGUAACACGUGAGUGACCUACCCGUGGGUGGGGGAUAACCCUCCGAAAGGAGGCUAAGACCGCGUACGUCCGCCGGGUUAGAACCCCGGUGGGGAAAGGCUCCGCAAGGAGUCGCCCGCGGAGGGGCUCGCGUCCCAUCAGGUAGUUGGUUAGAGGUAACGGCUCACCAAGCCUAUGACGGGUAGCUGGUCUGAGAGGAUGGCCAGCCAGACUGGGACUGAGACACGGCCCAGACUCCUACGGGAGGCAGCAGUUAGGAAUCUUGCGCAAUGGGGGAAACCCUGACGCAGCGACGCCGCGUGGGCGAAGAAGGCCUUCGGGUCGUAAAGCCCUUUUCCGGGGGAAGAUUAUGACGGUACCCCGGGAAUAAGCCCCGGCUAACUACGUGCCAGCAGCCGCGGUAAUACGUAGGGGGCUAGCGUUGUCCGGAUUUACUGGGCGUAAAGAGCGCAGCAGGCGGCCUCCGCAAGUCGGUCGUGAAAUCCCUCGGCUCAACCGGGGGGCGUCGGUCGAUACUGCGGGGCUUGGAAGGCGGUAGGGGGAGAUGGAAUUCCCGGUGUAGUGGUGAAAUGCGUAGAUAUCGGGAGGAACACCGAUGGCGAAAGCGAUCUCCUGGGCCGUUCUUGACGCUGAGGCGCGAAAGCGUGGGGAGCGAACUGAAUUAGAUACUCAUGUAGUCCACGCCCUAAACGAUGGACACUAGGUGUGGGGGUAUCGACCCCUCCCGUGCCGCAGUAACGCAAUAAGUGUCCCGCCUGGGGAGUACGGCCGCAAGGCUAAAACUCAAAGGAAUUGACGGGGGCCCGCACAAGCAGCGGAGCGUGUGGUUUAAUUCGACGCAACGCGCAGAACCUUACCAGGGUUUGACAUGUAGUCGCAAAGCCUAGAGACAGGCUCCUCCCGCAAGGGACGGCUGCACAGAUGCUGCAUGGCUGUCGUCAGCUCGUGCCGUGAGGUGUUGGGUUAAGUCCCGCAACGAGCGCAACCCUCGUCGCCAGUUGCUCUCUCUGGCGAGACUGCCGAGACAAACUCGGAGGAAGGUGGGGAUGACGUCAAGUCAGCACGGCUCUUACAUCCUGGGCUACACACACGCUACAAUGGGCGAGAACAAUGGGUCGCGAAGGGGUGACUCGGAGCCAAUCCCAACAAAAUCGUCCUCAGUUCAGAUUGCAGGCUGCAACCCGCCUGCAUGAAGACGGAGUUGCUAGUAACCGCAGGUCAGCACACUGCGGUGAAUACGUUCCCGGGCCUUGUACACACCGCCCGUCACGUCAUGAAAGCCGGCAACACCUGAAGCCACCGCGCUAACCCCCGCAAGGGGGCGGCAGGUGUCGAGGGUGGGGUUGGUGAUUGGGACGAAGUCGUAACAAGGUAGCCGUAGCGGAAGCUGCGGCUGGAUCACCUCCUU